AUUGAACGCUGGCGGAAUGCUUUACACAUGCAAGUCGAGCGGCAGCACGGGGGCAACCCUGGUGGCGAGCGGCGAACGGGUGAGUAAUACAUCGGAACAUGCCCAGUCGUGGGGGAUAACACUUCGAAAGAAGUGCUAAUACCGCAUACGUCCUGAGGGAGAAAGCGGGGGAUCUUCGGACCUCGCGCGAUUGGAGUGGCCGAUGUCAGAUUAGCUAGUUGGUGGGGUAAAGGCCUACCAAGGCAACGAUCUGUAGCUGGUCUGAGAGGAUGAUCAGCCACACUGGGACUGAGACACGGCCCAGACUCCUACGGGAGGCAGCAGUGGGGAAUUUUGGACAAUGGGGGCAACCCUGAUCCAGCCAUUCCGCGUGAGUGAAGAAGGCCUUCGGGUUGUAAAGCUCUUUCGGCAGGAACGAAACGGCGAGCUCUAACAUAGCUUGCUAAUGACGGUACCUGAAGAGGAAGCACCGGCUAACUACGUGCCGGCCGCCGCGGUAAAAC
rnacentral:rRNA from 1 species